AAGUCGUAACAAGGUUUCCGUAGGUGAACCUGCGGAAGGAUCAUUUCUGAGAUUGUACUCUCUUCUCUUUUCCGUGCUUUGUUUUGAAGGGGGAAGUAAGAGCUUGUCUUUUUGCUUUCCUUUUUGAGGCGGCCGGGAGAGAAGGGGUAUAUCAAAGUGAGAAUGUGGUAUAUAUGCAAAUCUUUUUUGUUGGAUUCGUUCCCUUUGGAUGCCUUUGUUGGUGGAAAAGGGGGAAGGAUUUGACUAUCAAAAAAGGAUUUCAUUUUUAAAUUACAAAAACCAAGGUUACUAUUAUGUACAUUCAAAAAAUAUACAAAAACAAAAUACAACUGUCAACGGUGGAUCUCUUGGCUCGU
rnacentral:misc_RNA from 1 species